rnacentral:rRNA from 1 species
GAUGAACGCUAGCGGCAGGCUUAAUACAUGCAAGUCGAGGGGCAUCAGCUUAUAGCAAUAUAGGGCUGGCGACCGGCAAACGGGUGCGGAACACGUACACAACCUUCCUUUAAGAGGGGGAUAGCCCAUAGAAAUGUGGAUUAAUACCCCGUAAGAUAGUGGGAUGGCAUCAUACUACUAUUAUAGUUACGACGCUUGAAGAUGGGUGUGCGUCUGAUUAGGUAGUUGGCGGGGUAAGGCCCACCAAGCCUUCGAUCAGUAGCUGAUGUGAGAGCAUGAUCAGCCACACGGGCACUGAGACACGGGCCCG